AUUAAUAAAAUUAUUGAUUUUAUUUUAUAUAUAAUUUUUAUUUAAAAUAAUUUUAAUUUAGUAUAUAAUUUUGAAAAAUAAAUUUUUAUUAUAGUUUAUUAGUAUUGUAAAAGAAAUUUUUUAAAUAAUAAAAAGAAAAAUUUAAUUUUUGUACCUUGUGUAUCAGGGUUUAUUAAUUAAUAAUUAAUUAUUUAAUUUUCUCGAAUUUAAAAGAGUUAAUUAAUUAUUUAUUUUAAUGUAAAAUAAUUAUUUAUAAUAAUUAAUUAGAAAUGAAAUGUUAUUCGUUUUUAAAUAUAUCUAGUUUUUAAAGAAAAAAAUUAAAUUUUAAUUUUAAUAUAAAAAUAUAAUAUUUUUAUUAUAUUUUUUAUUAAAUUUUAAUUUUAAAAGGGAUAAGCUUUUUAAAAUAUUAUUUAAAAUUAUUUAUUAAAAUUAAUAAUUUAUAGAAUUAUAAAUUUUUAUUUAUAAAAAUUUGUUAUAAUUUAUUAUUAAAUUAAUUUUAUUUAUAUUUAAUUUAAAUAAUUUAUUUAAAUUUUAUUUAAAAUUUUAAAAAAUUAUUAAUAAUGAUAAAAUUAGUAUAUAUUUAUAUUAAAAAAUUUAUUUUUAAAUAGGUAAAAUUAAGGAAUUCGGCAAAAUUUUUAUUCACCUGUUUAAUAAAAACAUGUCCUUUUGAUUAUAAUUUAAGGUCUAAUCUGCCCACUGAUUUUUAAAUGGCCGCAGUAAUUUGACUGUGCUAAGGUAGCAUAAUCAUUAGUUUUUUAAUUGAAAGCUGGAAUGAAUGAUUGGAUGAAAUAAAAGCUGUCUCAAUUUUAUUAAGUUAAAAUUUUAUUUUUAAGUUAAAAAGCUUAAAUAUUUUUAAAAGACGAGAAGACCCUAUAGAGUUUUAUAUAAUUAUAUUAAUUUAAAUUAUUAAUAAAAAAAUUUUAUUAGUAUAAUAAUAUUUUGUUGGGGUGACAAAAAAAUUUAAUUAACUUUUUUUAUUUAUAAAACAUAUAUAAAUGAUUAAUUGAUCCAUUAUUUAUGAUUAUAAGAUUAAAUUACCUUAGGGAUAACAGCGUAAUUUUUUUUGAGAGUUCAAAUCGAAAAAAAAGAUUGCGACCUCGAUGUUGGAUUAAAGUUUAAUUUUGGUGUAGCAGCUAAAAAUUUAAGUCUGUUCGACUUUUAAAACUUUACAUGAUCUGAGUUUAAACCGGUGUAAGCCAGGUUGGUUUCUAUCUUUAAUAAUAAAUAAUAUUUUAGUACGAAAGGACCAAAUAUUAAAUAAAUUAUUUUUUUUUGAAUAUUAAUA
rnacentral:rRNA from 1 species